GAUGAACGCUGGCGGCGUGCCUAAUACAUGCAAGUCGAGCGAACAGACGAGGAGCUUGCUCCUCUGACGUUAGCGGCGGACGGGUGAGUAACACGUGGAUAACCUACCUAUAAGACUGGGAUAACUUCGGGAAACCGGAGCUAAUACCGGAUAAUAUAUUGAACCGCAUGGUUCAAUAGUGAAAGACGGUUUUGCUGUCACUUAUAGAUGGAUCCGCGCCGCAUUAGCUAGUUGGUAAGGUAACGGCUUACCAAGGCAACGAUGCGUAGCUGACCUGAGAGGGUGAUCGGCCACACUGGAACUGAGACACGGUCCAGACUCCUACGGGAGGCAGCAGUGGGGAAUCUUCCGCAAUGGGCGAAAGCCUGACGGAGCAACGCCGCGUGAGUGAUGAAGGUCUUCGGAUCGUAAAACUCUGUUAUUAGGGAAGAACAAAUGUGUAAGUAACUAUGCACGUCUUGACGGUACCUAAUCAGAAAGCCACGGCUAACUACGUG
rnacentral:rRNA from 1 species